UGCUUGGUUGAUUGUGCAUGGCGAUGAUGUCAUUAUCAAUGGCAUUUGUUAGGGUUGAUAGAUUAUUUUGAUCUUAUGAUUAUGUUGGAAUGUAGACUAUAAUGAUUAACCAAACUUUUCAAAUAAGUUAGAGUGAGCACCA